rnacentral:rRNA from 1 species
UACGAAGGGUGCAAACGUUGCUCGGAAUUAUUGGGCGUAAAGCGCACGUAGGCGGCUUUGCAAGUCGGAUGUGAAAUCCCUCGGCUUAACCAAGGAAGUGCAUCCGAAACUGCAGAGCUUGAGUACUUAAGAGGAUCGCGGAAUUCCCGGUGUAGAGGUGAAAUGCGUAGAUAUCUGGAGGAAUACCGGUGGCGAAGGCGGCAUCCUGGACCGACAUUGACGCUGAGGAGCGAAAGCUAGGGGAGCAAACGGG